AUUGAACGCUGGCGGCAGGCCUAACACAUGCAAGUCGAACGGUAGCACAGAGAGCUUACUCUCGGGUGACGAGUGGCGGACGGGUGAGUAAUGUCUGGGAAACUGCCCGAUGGAGGGGGAUAACUACUGGAAACGGUAGCUAAUACCGCAUAACGUCGCAAGACCAAAGUGGGGGACCUUCGGGCCUCACACCAUCGGAUGUGCCCAGAUGGGAUUAGCUAGUAGGUGGGGUAAUGGCUCACCUAGGCGACGAUCCCUAGCUGGUCUGAGAGGAUGACCAGCCACACUGGAACUGAGACACGGUCCAGACUCCUACGGGAGGCAGCAGUGGGGAAUAUUGCACAAUGGGCGCAAGCCUGAUGCAGCCAUGCCGCGUGUAUGAAGAAGGCCUUCGGGUUGUAAAGUACUUUCAGCGGGGAGGAAGGCGGUGAAGUUAAUAACUUCACCGAUUGACGUUACCCGCAGAAGAAGCACCGGCUAACUCCGUGCCAGCCGCCGCCGUAA
rnacentral:rRNA from 1 species